UUUCUGAGUGCAUCUCACCGGAAAGACUGGAAGCCCAUCCAGAAACCUGGUUAACAGAGAGUCUGGCAAACGUGUUUACCAGCAGAGCACAGAAGAGGGUAAGCAUUUAUUAGAGGAGGCAUUUGGAAAGAUCACUACAAGCAGAGGAGAAUGAAUGUUCAAACUACAGAGAUCUACCGGAAUUAGAGGCAAAACAGACAGAUUCCUACUUUAGGAUGGUAGGCUUGAAAAUUGGCCAAGUCUGAAAUAAGUUAACAUAUCAGAUAAUAUGAACAUUAUCGUGUUCAUGUGUUUCAAAAUUAUGGAGCAUUUUCUGUGAAAAAUAAAAUCUUCA